CACUCGCGACUUCGGACUUCACGCGGUCGAAACCGGCGACAUUUUCUUCUCUCGGUGGCGCCGGCGAGGAGCGGACUUAGGAGCGUUGAGAGGAAGAGAGCGACGGAGCUCGGUUUGGGGAUUCCGCCGGCUGCCGGGAAGGAACCAAGGGCAUCGGCGUUGGAUCUGGGCAUCGACAACCGGUGGUGUGAGGUUUUGGCUGUGAAUCAAGGUUUCCGAUCCCUUCCCUGUUCGUUAGCAAGAAACAGGACCGAGCCCUAAUCGAAGGAUUGGAGAGGUGAUGUGGUGUUUCCAGCCACCACAACUUGAUGGGGUUGUUUCCUUCACCGGAUUUGUGAUCAUCUCCGCCAAUUAAAGAGCAGAGGACCUUGAUUGACGACGAGUCGCGUGACGUGGUGGUUCUAUUGAUUGCGGGAUAUAUCGAGGCGGGUAUUUCUUCCUAAAUUUCUAUUUAGUACUUUGAACUUUAAAGCAUGGUUAUAUUUUUGGAUAAUUAGGUUGCAUUCCUUAAAUCUGAUUAUUUG